rnacentral:rRNA from 1 species
GAACACGGACCAAGGAGUCUUGAAUGUGCGCGAGUCAAAGGGCUGGCUAAACCCCAAGGCGAAACGAAAGUGAAUUUUCUUUCAAUAGGGCUGAUCCGGUUCGUUGUGAGAGCUGGGGUUAGCGGGGUCGUUCGUCGCCGUCUGGUCGAUAUCCCUUUUCGCAGGGGAAGUCGAAGGCGGAUGCUCGGCUUCUCCGCGCUCCAUCCUCUCCCCUCGAUUUGUUACCUCAAUAUGUGGUCGGCGCAAGCCCGGGGCUCGCAAUGUUCCUCUUCGCCGUUAAGGCUCGGUCGUUGGCUUCGCGACUCCUCCUUCUUCAAAUUGUAAAACGAGAAGGAGGGGGUGUUCGCGGGCAACGGCUCGCUGGCGGAGACGGACAGCGGGUUCUCUGAGCGCACAUUCAAGGACCCGAAAGAUGGUGAUCUAUGCGUGGCGAGGAUGAAGCCAGGGGAAACUCUGGUGGAGGUCUCGCAGCGAUUCUGACG